AUUGAACGCUGGCGGCAGGCCUAACACAUGCAAGUCGAGCGGAUGAAGGGAGCUUGCUCCUGGAUUCAGCGGCGGACGGGUGAGUAAUGCCUAGGAAUCUGCCUGGUAGUGGGGGAUAACGUCCGGAAACGGGCGCUAAUACCGCAUACGUCCUGAGGGAGAAAGUGGGGGAUCUUCGGACCUCACGCUAUCAGAUGAGCCUAGGUCGGAUUAGCUAGUUGGUGGGGUAAAGGCCUACCAAGGCGACGAUCCGUAACUGGUCUGAGAGGAUGAUCAGUCACACUGGAACUGAGACACGGUCCAGACUCCUACGGGAGGCGGCAGUGGGGAAUAUUGGACAAUGGGCGAAAGCCUGAUCCAGCCAUGCCGCGUGUGUGAAGAAGGUCUUCUGAUUGUAAAGCACUUUAAGUUGGGAGGAAGGGCAGUAAGUUAAUACCUUGCUGUUUUGACGUUACCAACAGAAUAAGCACCGGCUAACUUCGUG
rnacentral:rRNA from 1 species